rnacentral:rRNA from 1 species
GACGAACGCUGGCGGCGUGCCUAAUACAUGCAAGUUGAGCGAUGAAGAUUGGUGCUUGCACCAAUUUGAAGAGCAGCGAACGGGUGAGUAACGCGUGGGGAAUCUGCCUUUGAGCGGGGGACAACAUUUGGAAACGAAUGCUAAUACCGCAUAACAACUUUAAACAUAAGUUUUAAGUUUGAAAGAUGCAACUGCAUCACUCAAAGAUGAUCCCGCGUUGUAUUAGCUAGUUGGUGAGGUAAAGGCUCACCAAGGCGAUGAUACAUAGCCGACCUGAGAGGGUGAUCGGCCACAUUGGGACUGAGACACGGCCCAAACUCCUACGGGAGGCAGCAGUAGGGAAUCUUCGGCAAUGGACGAAAGUCUGACCGAGCAACGCCGCGUGAGUGAAGAAGGUUUUCGGAUCGUAAAACUCUGUUGGUAGAGAAGAACGUUGGUGAGAGUGGAAAGCUCAUCAAGUGACGGUAACUACCCAGAAAGGGACGGCUAACUACGUG